GCUUGGUUGGUAGUACAACUGCCUUGUAAGCACUAACCUGUGGGUUUGAUUCCCACACACAGCA
rnacentral:tRNA from 1 species